rnacentral:rRNA from 1 species
UGUCUGGGAAAGCCUUUGCGGCAUGGGAUGGGGUCGCGUCCUAUCAGCUUGAUGGCGGGGUAACGGCCCACCAUGGCUUCGACGGGUAGCCGGCCUGAGAGGGCGACCGGCCACAUUGGGACUGAGAUACGGCCCAGACUCCUACGGGAGGCAGCAGUGGGGAAUAUUGCACAAUGGGCGCAAGCCUGAUGCAGCGACGCCGCGUGAGGGAUGGAGGCCUUCGGGUUGUAAACCUCUUUUGUUAGGGAGCAAGGCAUUUUGUGUUGAGUGUACCUUUCGAAUAAGCACCGGCUAACUACGUGCCAGCAGCCGCGGUAAUACGUAGGGUGCAAGCGUUAUCCGGAAUUAUUGGGCGUAAAGGGCUCGUAGGCGGUUCGUCGCGUCCGGUGUGAAAGUCCAUCGCUUAACGGUGGAUCCGCGCCGGGUACGGGCGGGCUUGAGUGCGGUAGGGGAGACUGGAAUUCCCGGUGUAACGGUGGAAUGUGUAGAUAUCGGGAAAGAACACCA